UUGGAUUCGCUAGUAAUCGCGCAUCAGCCAUGGCGCGGUGAAUACGUUCCCGGGCCUUGUACACACCGCCCGUCAAGCCAUGAGAGCCGGGGGCGCCUGAAGUCCGGGACCGCGAGGACCGGCCUAGGGCGAAACUGGUAACUGGGGCUAAGUCGUAACAAGGUAGC
rnacentral:rRNA from 1 species